GAUGAACGCUGGCGGCGUGCCUAAUACAUGCAAGUCGAGCGAACGGACGAGAAGCUUGCUCCUCUGAUGUUAGCGGCGGACGGGUGAGUAACACGUGGAUAACCUACCUAUAAGACUGGGAUAACUUCGGGAAACCGGAGCUAAUACCGGAUAAUAUUUUGAACCGCAUGGUUCAAAAGUGAAAGACGGUCUUGCUGUCACUUAUAGAUGGAUCCGCGCUGCAUUAGCUAGUUGGUAAGGUAACGGCUUACCAAGGCAACGAUGCAUAGCCGACCUGAGAGGGUGAUCGGCCACACUGGAACUGAGACACGGUCCAGACUCCUACGGGAGGCAGCAGUAGGGAAUCUUCCGCAAUGGGCGAAAGCCUGGCGGAGCAACGCCGCGUGAGUGAUGAAGGUCUUCGGAUCGUAAAACUCUGUUAUUAGGGAAGAACAUAUGUGUAAGUAACUGUGCACAUCUUGACGGUACCUAAUCAGAAAGCCACGGCUAACUACGUG
rnacentral:rRNA from 1 species